UCUGCCGCGAAAUUCCGAAUGCUUCCCAAGAUUUGCAGAAAUGAAUUUGGAAAAAUGCUUAUUAUUUUUGGUCGACGUUUAGCUGGGCCCUGGCACUAUACGACUAAACAGAAUGUUUGAGCAUUGCAAUAAGCUUAUUUCCACCAAAAAUAUUCAUGGAAGCUCAUCGAUUGGUUGACUAAUGAACAUGAAUAUUCAGGAAGUCAUAGAUUUUUCAAAAAUCUUUCAGCCACGUUUUUUGACGUAGUGUAAAAGGAGACAAUAGGCGUGGUUUGCGAUAAUGCUGUGGGGAAUACAUUACCGCUACAUUGCUAGAAAUUACAAUUUUCACCUAAAUUUCAAAUGUUAUACUCUAUACAUGUAUAAGAGAAUAGCUAGCAGUAGCGAUAAUACAUACUAUUCAGACAUGGUAAUGAGCAUAUUGGGCUAGAUGCUGUCAUAAGACAGUGAUAACCACGGGGAACUGCUUGCCCUUAGAUAUACUCAUCCAUUUUUAGUAGCAAAAAAUCUGAACCUGCACCGACACAGCAUUCAUAAUAGAUAGCUUGGUCAGAAAAGAACAGUUCGAGUGAAAAUUGAAAGGCUAGUCCAUAUAUCAUGAUGAUUGUACAGCCACAGAUGCUUCCAGAAAUAAUUUUCACCACAUGAAGCAGCAGAGAUGGUCCAUGUUAGGGAAAACAGAUUAUUAUCUCGAUUUAUCACCAUGUGGAACGUGCACUGUGUGUUCACUACCCGGAUCUUCACCAACAUUGUAUUCAGAGCACUUACUGGAUCCAGCGAUGUAUCUUUCGUCAUGACGUGAAUUGAUGCAGACAGAGGUUCAGCCACUGUGGAUUUGCAUUGCAGACUUCCAAAAAUCCCGGUCUUCGAUAAUUACAGACUGAUAGGCAUAAUUUUGCAUAGAAUGGUGUAUCCGGGGGUACGUUUUUUUUUCAGACUCCCUAGAAUCAAGAUGAUAUUUCUAUUGGUUAAUGUAUAUAUUCAUUUAUUUUAUGCUGCCAUAUCAUCAUCAACACACACAUUGUAUCAUAUUUGUACUUUUAAAAAUGAAGUAUUAAAUGACCAUUACAAGUACGCCGAAUCACAAUAACGACUUGUGCUUAUAGAAACAAUUUUAACCUUCUUAAAGGAUUUUCUGGUCAAGUUUGCGUCUGUUAUCCAAGUUGAAGUAAUCGCGAAAUAACCUCCUGUAGUUGUCAGACAAUUUGGACUGUUCAAGUACUUUAUUUGUCUAUCGAGUCUCCAAGAGAUUUUGGAUUCUGAUACUUUGAUCUGUGGGCAACCUGUAGUUGAAACACGUUUUGUCAAUAAAAACUGCGUGUGUAUUUAUUAAACGUGAUUGAUAGAUAUUUUAUCGAUUUUAAGCUAAAGAAAUGCUGGUAAUUUAUCUUAUGUGUCCAGAUAUGAAAUUUUAUGUAUGCAUUGUUGUAGAGAAACUUUGAUUGGUGUAACAAUAAAUCAUCUAAAGAACGAAUCUAAUAAUUAUGGUGUCGACUUCCAAAAUUGUUUGAUAAUUAUGCAUAAAAUUAAUAGACAAUAUACCUAAACACGGAAGUUGUUUUUUCUUACCCUUUCUAUAUCUUGUUUAAGCGAUGUAUUCAACAAACAUUGCCGAUAAACUGUAGUAUAGAAACGUAUUCAGGUGGUGGGUAUGUCAUCGCAUUAUCUUUUUUAUCAAGACAGUUUAUUUGGUCACUCCCUAUGCGCCAUGUAAUAGAAAUUAAUGUAAAUAUAUAUCGUAUCUAUUCAGAUAAAUAAUGAAAAUAAUAAUUUCAUGAACGGUCUGAGUGCAAUACUAGUAAGAUAGAUAAUGAAUGAUAUUGUAAUCCGCUGAGAAUUUUUUUUUAAAAGGGUUGAAAAUUUGAUCAAUUUUCAGCAUUUUUUUAUUUUGAAGUUUUAUCAGCAAAUAAAAUAUUCGAAAGACAUCCCCCACUAAGAAAUAUUUGUAAUGUAGGUUUUAUCCAGUGAAUGCGUCCGUCAAAUCUACCCCAUUCCAAAUACCUCUCAAAAAAUAUGGAAUUUAUUUUAGUUACCAUUUAGUACAAACAGUUACAUGCUAUACUCCCGGGUGAAUCAGAUAUAAAUAUAAAAUCUGCAUAGCUCCUAGCGAUUUGUCGUUGAUGGUAUCAAAAGAAUAGUUAUCUGAAAAUAAGACAUCAAAUACAAUCAAACACCACAGUUUUACUAUUGACAAAAGAAUUCUAUGAUUACAGGUAGAGCAGUCACUGGAUUAAAUCAUGUGAAGUCCAUACACCUUCUCAGUAUCUUUGAUCGCAUACCUCUCUUUCCCGUAUUCAGAUGAAGUUUUUAUGCUUACGUAUUACUUGCAUGCAGGAUUUGAGACGAAUAGAUAUAAAACCAUAUGACAAUAACUACCCGCCGUACACCAGGAAAAUCAAUGCGGUGAUAUAGAAAACAAGUCAAACUUCUUCAUUCAUUCAAAUUUGUGUGGUAUGAUAAAUAUAGGUAGUUUGUUUACUAUUUCGGAACUUAAUAUCUCUUAUGACAUUUGUGUAUAGACAUGAAUAUAAGGUGACUGGA